ensembl:lncRNA
AGUGACAUAGCAAGGAGACUCAUAUUUAAGCGAAGGAGAAACAGGAAAGGCCCUCUUUUCCCCUCCAUUCCUGCUCCAACAGCACAAUGUAAUCCACCGACAAGGAGGAAUGACAAUAAGGUCCUGUUUCUCUUUCCUAAAGGUGUCUGGUACCUACAAAUGAAGCUAAUAGAUUCUUUUCUAUGACACAAUUGGCAGUAUUGUUUUCCAGGAUGAUGCCUGAGUCCUUUAUGAGGGGACUAAUGUCAAAUAACUCACAUCUUGGGUUCCAGAUGGAAAAUUCUGCAAAGAGCUUUUGGUUCUCUACACUAAAAUAUUUUUGUUUGUUCAUUUCUGUUCUUUAAUUUUUUUCAUUUUGUUUUGCUUUUUCCAUAUGACAUUGUAAUGCAUUGUGUCAUCUUUGAGACUUAUAAAAAUGUAUUACAUUUGACAAGGUUUGUCAAGUCUUCAGCUCACCAUUCAACCUUUGGGUGCCCUGUGGGGAGAGCAUAAAUACUUUCCUAUUCUUACAUGGUUUCUGCAGGCAGUGGUGCCAGAAAAAGAUGGAUGGAGAAGGAAAUAAGGUUUUAAUGUCUAAGCAGUAUAUACAUUUUAGGUCAAACUAUGCAUAAAGUUAAGAGUUAUUUUUCUUAAAAAUGUUCUAAAUACCAGUUUCUGGCCCUCCAAAUUUCUCCUCAUUCUCCUUAGAUUUUAGAUUCUCUUUAGAUUUAAAAUUGUAGCAUUGACUCUCAUAAAACAGAAUUUUAGCUAUCUGAGAACAAAUUUGGAAAAUUCCAAUAAUCUCAUUCACCAAAUUGCAUAUCUGAAUGUGGGGCUACCAGCCUCUGAUCCCAGCACUGAAGGAGGAGGAGGAGGAGGAGGAGGAGGAGGAGGAGGAGGAGGAUUUCAAGUGCAAAGCCAUCUUAUGCCAUUGAUACAGUGAGAUCCUGUCUCAAAACCAGAAUGGAGCUGGAGAGAUGUCUCAGAGGCUAAAGUGUUUGGUGCUCUUGCAGAAGACUGGAGUUGGAUUCCCCAAAUGCUGUGUAGCUCACAACUGCCUGUAACUCCAGCUCCAGGGGAUCUGACGCUCUCUCCUGGCCUCUGUGGGCACCAGCACACAUGCUGACAUCCACAUACAAAGACACAUAUAUAAAAUAAAAAUAAAUCUUUAAGGAGCAAAAGAAAACAGUUUUUAAGUAUUGAAAACCUUUACAUAGCACAAAAAACUAUUUAGAUAUGGUUAAUAUUGUUAAUGCUCAAAUAAAUUUUCUACACCAUUUUCCUUUCCACUGAAAAACAGGACUUUCUGGUUAUUUUUACAAUUUUAAGAUUAUCCUUCAUGGAGAGUCUUUGUCCACUUUUAUAUUAAUCACUAAAAUUGUUUAUUCUCACUUUCUUUUAUAAUAUUUAUUUUUAUUGUGUUUAAUUAUGUGUCCGUUGGGGGGGGGGGAUGUAUGUGCUCAUAAGUACAGUGCCAAGAGGUCAGAGGUGUCUGCUCCUCUGGAACUGGAGCUACAGGCAGUUGUAAGCUGCCCGACAUGGGUGCUGGGAAGCAAACUCAGGUUCUCUGUGAGGGCAGAAUGGGAUCCUAAACACUGAGCCAUCUUUCCAACCUUCUUUCUGCCUUUCUUACACCAUUUGAAUAACCAGGGACAAUACUAGAGACCUUUAAAAGAAUACAUCAAUGCUCCUUUCUUAACACCAUGAAGCUCAUUAAAGUAUUCUGUCUGUUCUAUGGAAGAGAUGAUAGUGUUCCCAGCCGCUGAGUCUGUGGUUUGAAGACUGUGUUUCCAGAAUGUUCUUAUAGGUCAAAACAAAGAGAAAGCAGAGAAAGAGAAACCUCCCACUUUCAUCCAACAGAGCUGGUCUAAUGACAAUUUUUCAUACUGGGUUUCCACAGGAGAUUUCAAAAUCAGGACUUCGCUCCAUUUCGAGGAAACAAAUCUGAAACUAUUGUCCCUGACCAAAACUCAAACAAAUUGGGAAGGACAGCUAGAACUUUGAUUUCAUUGUUGUUGUUUCAUCCAUUUCUCAAGACUGUUCUAAAAUGCCAGCAAAGGGAUUUUUAAAAAUUAUUUCAAGGCAUCAAGCCAUAAUGACAGAGAGAAUGGAAAACAAAACUCCUUUGGAAAGUUGAAGAGUAGAUGGUCAAGCAGUCAAGGACACAGCCUCUCUGUGAGGACUGAGCCCACCCUUCAUGAACUGAAGAGAGUCAGGAAUGAGCCCAACCGGUACUUGGGGGAAACAGCACAGCCAGCCGUCAUUUGAGGAAAAUAAAGAGUCAGUUUAGAAUGAGGAUUCCAAGAGUAGUUCAGUAGCAGAGCUUUUGUCUGGCAUGCAGAAAGCCCAGAGUUUGAUUCUCAACACUGCACCAAAGGGAGGGCGGGAGUGGGAGAGUGGAGAGGAAAGGACUCUGGUUCCUAGCACAUCUCUCCUGUUUUGCAUAACUGGGGUCACCCCCUGCACCUCACACCAGGAAAAGGUGUAGGUAUGUUCUCUGUAGAGGGUAAAGAGGCUCUCUGUCAAGAGUUGAAACAAGGGAUCAUACUUAAAGCAGGGAGACUAGAUGAAAAAAUGAGUUUCCUUCGAUGAAGGAAAAUGAUACUAACCUAGAACUCUCUAUCGGGAUGUUCAAGUGCAAAGGUAAAUUCCUCCUGAUUUACAAGGUUAACCCCAUUUUUUUCUGACAUCACACCUGUGCAAAAGCUAUGCAAAUCUGGUUGAAAUCACACUUUGGGUUUUGUGUUUAAGCUUUCCCCAGGCCAGUGAUACACAGUUGAGACACUGGGCAGCUCCUAGACAGGCAUGUAGUCACAAGGGACUCAUCCAAUCCUCCACAAUUUACUGGGUUGUCCAGCUGUGCUACUCAGGGAAUUCGAUAUAUUAACCAUGCUUUUGACUAACACUAUUUUCAAACUGACAAUGGCUUUACUGGGAUGUCCACAUUUGGUCAAGGAGCAACUUUACAGGCUUUACAGACAUAUUUUUCAAAGAAAGAUGUUUAUUUUCUAGAAAGGAAAUACACAAAAUGCAAUCACUCAGCUGUAAUGAUAAAUGAAAUCAGGGUGGUCUCUGGAAAACAGAUGCCACUGAAGAGAGACCAUUUAAGUGAAACAGACAGUCUCAGAAAGACAAGAGAGAGAAAGAUGAAAUGCAAGGAAAGUAGAAAGGGGGAGGAGAGAAGGGAAGCAAGGUGACUGAGAAUGAAACAUACAAUGGCAUGCAUUAUAGACAUGAAAAUACUCUGACAGAAAUCCACUGUGUUUAUGGUAAUGCAAAAAUCAAAAUCAAAAAAAGUUUAUUCUAUAUCCAUUUCUCUGGGCAGCCACUGCAGAACAUAUUCUCCAAUGUUAGAUGAUCUGCUGGAGCAAGGGAAGACAUGGUUCUAGCAAUACAUGCCCUAAGAUGUGUGGAGACUGGGGGUGCCACAGGGAUGAGACAGAGAGAGAGGUUGCUGCAAAGGGGGAAAGGGGGAGG